UUCACUGAGUGCCCAUUCGUGGAUUACUCACCAAGAAAUCAUGUGGCACAAUCGAAUUACCAGUGGUUAACAGAGGCUUCGCUUACUGCUGAGGCAUCUGGAGGAUGCUCUUUUUUAACCAGCGAAUGGCAGCCAAAACACCCAUGAUCCCAGCACACAAAGAGACCCUUCAACAGUACGUCGUCCUUGUUGCCCCCGAGGGCUGCUACUGCAAACGUCAGCCUUUUGUCUGUUCCUGGUGAUGUUCUUUCCAGACAGGAGAAUCAGAUAUGUCCAUAAAAGAACUCUGCAGAGGUAAGAUGUUACGGCUACUAUUAUUUUUUAUGGCGAUACAUUUUCAGUUUUACACAUUCAAUGAUGAACCUCAGGUGUGUUUUAUAAGGCUCCAUGCCUCUGAUUUCUUUUUUUUCUCCUCGACAGCACAGGAUGCAGUGAUUGUUGACUGGCCUCAGUCCACGGCUGAGCACAUGUUCUGUCUAAAGGAAUUCAACUUAAAGAUUUUGCAUGCAGCUAUACAGUAUGCGAGCACCUUAAGAAGUUGAGUGAGAAGUUGAACCAGGAGCAGAUUGGAGGAGGACUUGCAGGUGCCGUUCAGACAGGAAACCACGUCUGAGCCUGCACGAGCCCCUCUACGUGAAGCGCUGCUGGACGCCGGAGCUGUCCAGCUUCUCCACCCCGCACCAGGGGAUGGGCGGGUACUGGAUGAGCCCCCAGAGGUACCAGGAGGUGGGGUCAACGUGGAGGGACACGCGCCGACGGCGAGUGGUCUUCCCCGGGAACACCGGCUUCUCUGACGUGCCAUCGAGUUGGGACGCGGGCUACUGCCACAUCCACCCCACGUUGGUGUGGAGGUAUCGUUGGCAAAAACUGAGGCAGAGGGUGCCUCAAGUGCUGAAAGGAAGAGAUAACUUUCUUGCCCUAUGAGGUUCUCAGAGUGAAUGCGGAGCCCCGACACUUGAUACGUACAUAUUAUACGCUCUUUCGGAAUCAGAAAUGACUGCUGCAAUUUGUGUUGGAAGCCGGGGGGCGGUGGUGGGGGGGGGGGGUAACAGCCAUGAUUUGGUCAAGGUAAUCUCACAGUGUCAGUGGUUUCGGGAAUGGGCUCUGGAAUGUUAAUAAGGGAGAAAAAAGGGCAAACGCGACUUAAAUGCCACACAGAUGUGGCCCAUCGGUGAUGCAAUCUAGCGAGGAAAUGAGUUGUAGCGCUUUCGGCCGCAGUGUUGUGUCGGAGUGCUGUUAACUUUAUGAUUGUACACAAGGUUGUAAAUAGAAAUGUCAGAAUAAAAGUUGGGCUGUAUAACCUCA